rnacentral:rRNA from 1 species
AAAACUUUCAACAACGGAUCUCUUGGUUCUGGCAUCGAUGAAGAACGCAGCGAAAUGCGAUACGUAAUGUGAAUUGCAGAAUUCCGUGAAUCAUCGAAUCUUUGAACGCACAUUGCGCCCGCCAGCAUUCUGGCGGGCAUGCCUGUUCGAGCGUCAUU